UUUUUUCUUCUGUCUCUAAAGAAAAAGAAAAAGGAAACGUACGUACGUACGUACGUACGUAUGUGUCCGCGUCGCUCUCGAUCGUGUUGUGUUUGGAGUCGGCGUAGCGAGGAGAAGGAAACGGAGAAUAACCCUAGUCGGCUAGCCACCUAAGGAAAAUCUACCGAAAUUUCCAGAUCGUGUUAGUUUCCUAGCCUUCUCUGAGUAGUAGUAGUAUUGGCUAUAUAUACCUACCUAUGCACCCUGUAAUUUGCAAACCGUGAGUUGAAGAAAUAAACUCAAGGCUUUCUUCCCAAGUAGUAUUGAUCCAUGGCGGCGGCGCUUCGACACGUGGCGAGGAGGCUCAUGGCUGAGGACCGGCGCCAGCCCUUCUCCCCAAGCAGACUCAUGCACACCCGUGAGCAUGCGCGCAAGAUCAACGACGGGCUAUAUAGGGUGGCGCAGAAGAAAGCAGAGUUGUAUGAUUUGUUACCGAAGGCGAAGACGAAUCCCGAGGCUAUUGAUGAGCAUGACAUGCAGCUACUCAAACUAAUUCCCCAUUUUCGACGACAACUCGUUCCAGAAGUAGAUGACAUACUCUAGCAGAGGGAGCGGUUUGCUACAAGGGUUAACAGUGUGCUCGAUGGAAUUGCCAGGACGGCAUUCUACAUUUGUAUUACUGCUUUGGCAUAUGGCAUCACCACCGACAAGGGGGUACAAGACCAGACCAUUGACAAAGGAACCCAGUGAAGAUGAGAUCGAAAACUUAGAACCAAGAUGGCCCCAACCUGUUUUCUGUUUAAUUAUGAUCUGCAGUUUUACUAACUAUAACACUAUCCUA